GUUUGUGUGUGUGUGUGUGUGUGUGUGGUUAUGGUUGGGUGUGUUCAUCAUGGCUACCAAUGAAGUGUUUUGGGAUGGUCCAACAACAGCAUCUGAAGGAUGCUCAUGCAAAAGUGUGUUGUGCUUUCUAGUUUCAUCAUCAAACAAUGAGCACAUGUCCACUGUGUCCCCUCCAUGGGCUUCCUUGCUGAACUGGGGUGAGAUGAUAUUGAUGCAAACAGGAGAAUUGAACCCCAAUUAAAUUUAAAAUCAAAUUACAUCGCCUCAGUGGGCUUUACAGUCUGCGGUGUGUGAUACACUCCGUCCUCACACAGGGAGGCUGCUUACUGGCUUCGGUUCAACAGGGACGGCAGAAUUUGGAAAAGAGAAAUCAAUACAAUAAACAUAUGGACGUGAGAGUAUUUUUUAUUCAGAUGUGAAAAUCAUUUAAAGAACAAAAGGGCCUGGAACCUUGAUUGAAUUUCAUGGCCUAAAAAAAAAACACAUUUUAAUUUAAUUACUUAACACAUUAUGAAAAUGAAUGUCAACAGGAAGGUGGAAAAAAAAAAAACAGGUUUCUCUUAAUUUAAAUCACAUGCAACACAAAAUUGCAAUAAUCUCUGUUGUUUAAAAAAAAAAAAAUACACCUUUAAAUCUCAGGCACACCUAGUUUUGACCAAUUAAAAUCAAAAUAUUCAAAAAAAAUAUUGCCUUUUUCCUUUUGGGGAAAUCUAGAUCCAGGUCCGCCUUCAACAGCCUCUUAAAUUUACACAUGAUAAUAAAACAAAACAAUGAAGAACACCGAUCAUAAAAGAGUUGCAUUUAUUUGACAGUGACACAGUGGUACGGAGACAAAUAACGAGACUUGUAAUGAGGUACAGUACAUCUUGUUCUGAGGUACAUCAGCGUUGUUAUUGUAUUUUCUGGAGGGUAUGCACUUUCUCUGUUACUGUCUGAAUUCAAAUGAAGUUGGCAAAAAAUAAAAAAUACUAAUCGUUUUGUCAAUACGAACACCAUGACUUGAACUUUUAAAUCCAUGUAAACUGAGGUUAUUAUGAGAAACAGCACUAUGUUGAAAAAAAAAAAAAAGACAGUUUUAAU